rnacentral:rRNA from 1 species
GAUGAACGCGGGCGGCGUGCCUAAUACAUGCAAGUCGAGCGAAUGGAUUAAGAGCUUGCUCUUAUGAAGUUAGCGGCGGACGGGUGAGUAACACGUGGGUAACCUGCCCAUAAGACUGGGAUAACUCCGGGAAACCGGGGCUAAUACCGGAUAACAUUUUGAACCGCAUGGUUCGAAAUUGAAAGGCGGCUUCGGCCGUCACUUAUGGAUGGACCCGCGUCGCAUUAGCUAGUUGGUGAGGUAACGGCUCACCAAGGCAACGAUGCGUAGCCGACCUGAGAGGGGGCUCGGCCACACUGGGACUGAGACACGGCCCAGACUCCUACGGGAGGCAGCAGUAGGGAAUCUUCCGCAAUGGACGAAAGUCUGGCGGAGCAACGCCGCGUGAGUGAUGAAGGCUUUCGGGUCGUAAGACUCUGUUGUUAGGGAAGAACAAGUGCUAGUUGAACAAGCUGACACCUUGACGGUACCUAACCAGAAAGCCACGGCUAACUACGUGCCAGCCGCCGCCGUAA